rnacentral:rRNA from 1 species
UACGUAGGGUGCAAGCGUUAAUCGGAAUUACUGGGCGUAAAGCGUGCGCAGGCGGUUAUGUAAGUCAGAUGUGAAAUCCCCGGGCUUAACCUGGGAAUGGCAUUCGGGACUGCAAGGCUGGAGUGCGGCAGAGGAGACUGGAAUUCCUGGUGUAGCGGUGAAAUGCGCAGAUAUCAGGAAGAACACCAAUGGCGAAAGCAGCUCUCUGGGACGGUACUGACGCUGAGACGCGAAAGCGUGGGGAGCGAACAGG